AAGAUACUAGUAUAGGAGUUAAUACAUUGCUUUGUCAGGGCAAAAUUGUGGGUUAAACCCCCACGUAUCUUA
rnacentral:tRNA from 2 species